UACGUAGGGUGCAAGCGUUAAUCGGAAUUACUGGGCGUAAAGCGCACGUAGGCGGCGCCGUAAGUCAGGGGUGAAAUCCCGGAGCUCAACUCCGGAACUGCCCUUGAAACUGCAGUGCUAGAAUCUUGGAGAGGCGAGUGGAAUUCCGAGUGUAGAGGUGAAAUUCGUAGAUAUUCGGAAGAACACCAGUGGCGAAGGCGACUCGCUGGACAAGUAUUGACGCUGAGGUGCGAAAGCGUGGGGAGCAAACAGG
rnacentral:rRNA from 1 species